UCCUCCCUCUUUCUUCGUGCUUAACACAUGCAAGUCGAACGGAAAGGCCCUGCUUUUGUGGGGUGCUCGAGUGGCGAACGGGUGAGUAACACGUGAGUAACCUGCCCUUGACUUUGGGAUAACUUCAGGAAACUGGGGCUAAUACCGGAUAGGAGCUCCUGCUGCAUGGUGGGGGUUGGAAAGUUUCGGCGGUUGGGGAUGGACUCGCGGCUUAUCAGCUUGUUGGUGGGGUAGUGGCUUACCAAGGCUUUGACGGGUAGCCGGCCUGAGAGGGUGACCGGCCACAUUGGGACUGAGAUACGGCCCAGACUCCUACGGGAGGCAGCAGUGGGGAAUAUUGCACAAUGGGCGGAAGCCUGAUGCAGCAACGCCGCGUGCGGGAUGACGGCCUUCGGGUUGUAAACCGCUUUCGCAUGUGACGAAGCGUGAGUGACGGUAAUGGGUAAAGAAGCACCGGCUAACUACGUG
rnacentral:rRNA from 1 species